rnacentral:lncRNA from 1 species
CAGAGAUCGAUAGAAGAAAUAAGAACUUCAAGAGGAGAGAUGGAGAAAGGAGGAAGUGAGAAGAAGAGAGGACCAGAGAACAGUUCGAAAUUGAGCGACACAAAGGAAGAGAAAAGAAAAGCAGAAACUGACAGAGGAAGAAGAGGAGGAGGAAAGAGAAAGAGAGGAGGUACAGCUAGAGAGGGACAGAGAGGUCUCUCUUUGUCACUUUCUGAGGGAGAUGAAGUCAAACAGAAGACAGUAAGCAUGGAGAAUGAUGGAAUUAAAAUAGAAGAUUUACAAGCAGAGGCAUAGGAACGGCUCAAUAUGCAUGAAGAGAAGAGGCUAGAAAUAUUGAAGGGGGAAAGAGAACGGAUAGAAGAAGAACAACAAAUCAGGAGGAAGAAGCAGGAAAGACUGUUAUCGAUGGACAGACAGCUGGAGAGGGUACAACAACAAGAGGAGCAGGAUAAAAAACUACAGAUCGAAGAGGGUACGACAACAAGAAGACCAGGAUAAAAAAACAACAGAUCAAAAUUGCAAAACAUAAAGAAACUGACAGACUUAGAGAGGCGAAGCAGGAAGAGAGAGAGGAGGAGAGAAAGAGAGCCAUUGAAGGCCACAUAGCUUUAAUCAGAGGAAGAGAGAAGAUGACAGAGGCAAAAAAGAGGCAGGAGAUGGCAGAAGAGGAAAGAAGGGAUGAGAAGUACAAGAGGGGUGAGUUAGAGAAGCCUGAAGAGGAGGAGAAGAACCCUGAAGAGAAGGAGGACGACAAGGAGGACCUCUCCCCAGCCAAUAAAAGUAUCAGAAGGAAAGCACUGGGUGAAUAGGAAGUGGGAGAAGAGGAACCUCAAAAAGGACAGAGAGAAUGUAUCAGAGAGAGGAGGAGGGAUAUGAGAUCAUCAACAGAGGACAGGGCUACCACACACAGGGCUAUCGCAGACAACCCGGAGACUAUGGCAGAGGACAGGACCAAGUACAAGAAGUCUCGCUAUGACCUUCGCAGAAUCAUCCAGCAACAGCACAAUAUAGUAAUAAGGUGGAAUCAUAUCAGACAGGCUCCACCGCCCGCCACAUGUGGGCAGUCCGUUAGCGAUUACAAAGGAAGACCCAGCCUUGACGACGUGUCUCUACCAGACAAACUUAAUCAAAUCAAAGUUUAUUUGUCACGUGCACCGAAUACAACAGGAGUAGACCUUACAGUGAAAUGCUUACUUACAGGCUCUAGGUAAGUAAAGAAAUAAAAAGCGACAGUAAAAAGACAGUGAAAAAUAACAGUAGCGAGGCUAUAUACAUGUAUCAUUGAUGCUGUAACGGACCCUUUGUCAUUGAUGCUGUAACGGCUCCUUCUGUUAUUGAUGCUGUAACAGACCCUUUAUCGACUUUUGUUGACUAUUUUACAGUUUUUCUCAAUUGCUAAAACACUAAAACCCAUUGGCUGAACAAAAUUUUCAGUUGCCUGGACUCAUUUAGCUAAUUAUGCAGUCUGUUGUCAGUACCUUAAACCAUUUCACAUGGUAAAACACAAUUUGCAGAUCUCACUUAGACUUCUCAGCAAAACUCUUAACAUAUUCUAAUUCUCAAAACACAUUCUGCACUCUAAUGCACAUGUCAUCCAUACUGGUAAACACAAGUGUCAACAAUCAAAUACAGAUAGAGAACACAUGUCAUUAAUUGAACACAACCACUCAAAAUUGAUUUAACCUGUUUUCAAAUGAUGCGACACAACCAAUAUAAGCCAGUUCAGAGAGCAAACAGGUUGUUGAAGGUGGGAAGGAGAAAGUCUGAGAAUGGAUAGAAGAAACAAUGUGAGAGGACGAGGACGAGUGCGUAUGCGAGGUGGGCAAUGAGGAGGAAGAGGAGGAGGAGGGCAAGAAAGAGGAAGAGGAGGAUGAAGAGGAAAAGGAAGACAAAGAGUGGAAAUAUCUGAUGAAAUUCGAGCAACAGUUAUAGACCAUGUUCUUGUCCAUGGACUGACAAUGAGGGAAGCAGGACUUAGAGUGCAACCCAAUUUGAGCCGAUUUUCUGUGUCCACCAUAGUAAGGACAUUCAGAGAAGAGAACAGAAUUGCAAGGCUGCCACAUGCAGGUGGAAGGACAGCUAUAUUCACUCGGGAGCAAGAGGCUGUUAUAGUUGGCAUGGUCCUUCAAGAUAAUGCAACACGACUCAGAGAAAUCCAGGAACGAGUGAUACAAAACACACACUUCCAGGGAAUCGACAGUGUGAGCAUUUCCACAAUUGACCGUGUCCUCCAUCGUAACAGGAUGCGAAUGAAACAAGUAUACAGAGUACCUUUUGAGUGCAACUCACCAAGGGUGAAAGAACUGCGAGCUCAGUAUGUGCAAACAAUAUUUGACUUGGAAUCCUUGGACAGACCCCAUGAGUUCAUCUUUGUCGAUGAAGCAGGCUUCAAUCUAACAAAGAGGAGAAGGAGAGGCCGAAACAUGAUUGGACAGCGGGCCAUUGUUGAAGUCCCUGGUCAACGAGGUUGCAAUGUCACAAUCUGUGCUGCUAUCAGCAACCAUGGUGUUCUACAUCACCAUGUUACACUCGGGCCAUAUAACACCUAGCACCUUCUAAGAUUUAUUGCCAAUCUAAGAGAUAUUUUAUUUGAGCAGCAGGUUCAAGAGCAGCAGGGUAAAGAGCUAAAUGAGAAUCCCAUUCCCACCUAUGUGACAGUGUGGGACAAUGUCAGUUUCCACCGAGCUGCUCAGGUAAGGGAAUGGUUUAACAUCAAUGGGCAGUUUAUGAACUUGUACCUCCCUCCAUACUCGCCUUUCCUGAAUCCGAUUGAAUCCGUUUUUCUCCUCUUGGAGAUGGAAAGUGUGUGAUAGACAACCCUACACCAGAGUAAAUCUGCUGCAAGCCAUGGAUUUAGCCUGUGGUGAUAUAGGUGAGGAAUCAUGUCAGGGCUGGA